CACGAGUUGAUGUUUUUUGCCUCAUUGAGUCCAGCUGAACGCAGAUCUUUAACCCUGUUGAUAUUUUUGGUACCAGAAGCAAUAAAAUUCCAACCCAUCUUCUCACAGUCUUGUGGUGACACAGAGAUAUAAGAAUAUAAUUACUCCUGUGGGCCUAAUCCAGAGGAGCAGCAUGAAGAAGAAGAGGAGGAUGGAGAUAAAGAAAUAGCUGCCAUGAACAGAGCUGGAAAACUGAAAGGCGAACAGAAUCUCUGAGGGGAUUUUUGAGGGAUUUUUACUAGAAAAGUUUCAUGAUGUGUUGAGGAGAGAGAGUGAAGCUGUGUAAUACAUGCUGAAUUUGUUCUGUAAUAAUCUCCACCUUCGCUAUCACCUCUAACCAGCUUGUGCAACAGAAGAAAAAAAACACUUUCGGUUUUACAAGAACAGACCAUAUUCUUGUUUUGUACUUCGCAACUUCUUGAAUAAAAAACCACAAAGACGUCAA